UACGUAGGGUGCGAGCGUUAAUCGGAAUUACUGGGCGUAAAGCGUACGUAGGCGGUUAUUCAAGUCAGAGGUGAAAGCCCGGGGCUCAACCCCGGAACUGCCUUUGAAACUAGAUAGCUAGAAUCUUGGAGAGGUCAGUGGAAUUCCGAGUGUAGAGGUGAAAUUCGUAGAUAUUCGGAAGAACACCAGUGGCGAAGGCGACUGACUGG
rnacentral:rRNA from 1 species